rnacentral:lncRNA from 1 species
AGCUCAGAUUUGAAGGCAGUAGCUUGCCGAUGCUCCCAGCUGAAUAAAGCCCUGCCUUCUACAACUCAGUGUCUGAGAGGUUUUGUCUGCGGCUCACCCUGCUACAUUUCUUGGUUCCCUGACUGGGAAACGAGGUGACUGACGGAUGGCCGAGGCAGCCCCUUAGGCGGCUUAGGCCUGCCCUGUGGAGCAUCCGUGAGGGGAACUCCGGCCAGCCUGAGUGACGUGAUCCAAAGAGCGCUCCCGGGUAGGCAAUUGCCCCAAUGGAACGCCUUGCCAGAGCAGCGUGUAGCAGGCCCCCACGGAAGAUUAACACAGUGGCUGAACACCAGGAAGGAACUGGCACUUGGAGUCCGGACAUCUACAACUUGCUUGAAGGACAUAUGGGAAGAUGCCAGUACCUGGUUCAACACUUCAGGAUCUCCCUGGUUCCUGGAAGCCAAUUCAGACAUUGCCCACUGCCAGAUACUGGCCAAUGGUGCACUUCAUUGGUCUUCUAUUUUUGUCACAGAUUAGAGAAGCAAUUUAAACCACGUGCUCAGGCUGCUCAGUGGGCAAAUCAAUGGCAGGAGACAUUUUGAUGGGCUGCCCUCAUGCUUUUAUGCAUUUGCAAAAACUAAAAUUGAUCCACAUAAAUAAACUGGUUUCUUUGAACUACACAUCAUGCUAUGUCAGUUACCUGACUGGCCCCAGAGAGACUCUUUGCAGGCUAUGCUCUGAGUCCUGAUAUCUGUGCGAAGUGGACAGCAGCCACAGCAGAGGAUAGGGGCAGGAAGACCCCAGGAGUCUACCAGGGACAAUUGCAGAGCUGGAGCCCAGGAGAGGCUUGAGGGUGAGGAAGAGGUGGGGUUCCUCUUGAGGCUGCAUUGCUAGCUGGGACACUGCUCUUAUUUGGAAUGCCUGCUAAGGGUUAAUAAACUCAGCAACAUUCCCUAACGGUGCUUCCUAAGGUUAGAAUUACAUCCAUGUUCCAUAUCAAGGAUCAGCACCACAAUUUUAUUUUUCUCAGGGCUCAUUUGAGGGUGUUGUCAUGAGUUCUCUGGGCAGCAUCACACCUUCAGCUAGCACUCACCUGUUACCUGUUUUUUGUUGAAAUAGUUCCUUGCUGCUUUUGGCAAACCAUCAUCAGAGGGGAAAAGAACAAGCUAGCUGACAGAGUUCAGCUACGGACUAGGCCAACUCUUAAAGCUCACUGUAAUCGCUUAGCAGUGGUGCAGGAAUUAGGGGCAGAUUCUGAGGUUAGUGAAGAGAAAGAUUCAUCUGGAUCCACUGAUCAACUGAACCAGGUCUUCGGUCAUUUUCUCAAGAUCCCUCAACCACUCAGCCAUGGAGUCAGAAAGACUUUAGGUUCUCAACACAGCUCUUCUUCUCACUGAAGAACAGAGACUAAGCGCACUAGUCUCUGCUAAGAGCAGGAAGAAUUUCCUAUCUCAGGGGCUCUCUUCCUUCCCUACUCACACAUACAAUUCACAGAUUUGCAGGUUUUCCUAGGACCAUAUAUUUCUAAGGAAGAAAAGAUUCAGAUGUCAAAAAAUUCUACCUGCUUUUAAAACACUUACAGAAAAAUGACUGAAGCAAUCCAUGCCACAUUAAUUUAAAUAACACAGGGCGUAAAGUGUAAGUUCUGCCUCAACUCCACUCCCCAGGGACAAUCACUGUUCACAGAUUUUCACCUGCUUUUAACAUUUCAAAGAGAGCUGUCAAAUUCUUGCUUUAAAAAAGGAAGAAACACCUCGGGCUCUUUAGAAAAUUCAAAAUCUCAUGUUGAGCUGAGAAAGGUGAAAAUGAGAGGCAUUUUAACAGGAACACCUGUUAGUUUUGAGCAUAAGCAGUUUUGGUACAAAAAAUACUCAAAUUUGAGGCUUUAGAUGAUUUCCAAAGGUGAUUUUGAAAACUUGCCUCCCUUCCUGAGAAGAAAAGUUCUCCAGAGACACACCUGACACACUGGGGAAUUUGUAAGGAAGACUUUUUUUUUUCAAUUUAAUUUGUAAUUUCUAAGGCCAGUUAGGAAAUUGCCUGGAGCAUCUCCACCCUUUACUGGCAAACCACUCUGGGCGUGAGUCCCACACUUCACUCCCAGUCACCACGCUCUUCUUUCAAAAGUGUUUUAUAGACCCCAACAUUGAUCAGAAAUGACUCUCCCACCUUAUUUACUUAGCAAACUGCAGCUCAGCUUAUAAUGAAGGGAGGCACCAGGCCUGGGCACCAUCCUUUGCUUGUCCCCUCAUUUAAUUAUCUCCCCACUUCAGGGAGACAGGCAUUUACUUGUUACCUCACUCAACAGGGAAAGGGAACCUUCCCUUCACUCCAUAAAAAAGGUUAUGGGAAUUUUUCAACUGGAACCAGAUCUGUCUGACUCCAAAGUUUCUUUCCAGAGUUCCGUGAGAGCUCAUGCACAAUUGAGAAUAACUCACAACAUUGAUGUUCAGUGUACACACACUCGCCACGACCUGUACAAAAACCCAAUAGUUUCCUCUAUUUUUACAGUUAGUCCGAACUUCCUUGUAAGUCUCCAGCCUACCGCCUCUGGGCAUCCUGCUGCUGAGGUCAAAGCUGGUAUGUCUGUCCAGUAUCUGUUCCCUCAACCCCCGAUCCUUUUGAGGACACCCUUGGCUCUCGUGGGUGCUGUGAAUUUUCCCACUGUUUAUCAACAAAAAGAGUAAAACUCUGUAUAUUUGAAAAGAUUUAUUCUGAGCCAAAUAUGAGUGACCAACAGCACAUGACACAGCCCUAGGAAAUCCUGAGAACAUGUGCCCAGGGUAGUUGGGCUACAGCUUGGUUUUAUACAUUUUAGGGAUGUAGCAGGAAGAGCCGCAGAAAAAACCCCUCAGACACUGAGUUAAAGAAGGAAGCGGUUUAUUCGGCUGAGAGUAUCAGCAAGACUCCUGUCUCAAGAGCCGAGCUCCCCAAGUAAACAAUUCCUGUCCCUUUUAAGGGCUCACAACUCUAAGGAGGUCCAUGUGAGAGGGUGGUGAUCGAUUGAGCAAGCAGUGGGGACGAGACUGGGGGAUGCAUACACAGGUAAUUAGAAUGGAACAGAACAGGACAGGGAUCUUCACAGUGCUUUUUUAUGCAAAUAACCGAUUAGGUCAGGGGUCGAUCUUUAACUACCAGGCCCAGGGUGUGGUGCCAUUCUUUUUUCCUUUAUUUUCUUAAUAAACUUGCUUUUACUUUACUCUGUGGACUCACCUGGAAUUCUUUCUUGCACGAUGUCCAAGAACCCUCUCUUGGAGUCUGGAUUGGGACCCCUUUCAAGUAAUAGUUAUGUACAGAAAGGUGGGACAAUUCGAAGGGGUGGUGGUUCCAGGUCAUAGGUGGAGACCUGGGAUUAAUCGAAAGGAAUGUCUGGGUUAAGAUACGAGGUUGUGGAGACCAAGGUUCUUAUUAUGCAGAUGAAGUCUCUAGGUAGCUGGCUUCGGAGCUCUUGUCAGACCUUCAAAGGCACCAGACUCUUAGUUAAUUUUCUCCCGGAUCAGGGAGAAGACCUGGAAAGGGUGGGGAUUCUCUACAGAAUGUAGAUUUUCCACACAAGAGACAGCUUUGCAGAACCAUUUCAAAAUACAUCAAAGAAGUAUAUGUUGGGGUAAAAUAUUUCAAUUUCCUUCAGGGCUUACUAUCUGUCAUGUGAUACUACACUAGAGUCAGGCUGGAAUUUGGUAUCUUAUUGCUAUAAAAAGUCUGCUUUAUUAGUCUUAAGAUCUCUGUUUUAAUUUUUUUUUUUUUUAAGAGGGAGUUUCAUGCUGUCCCCCAGGCUGGAGUGCAGUGGCACGAUCUCGGCUCACUGCAAGCUCCGCCUCUCGGGUUCACGCCAUUCUCCUGCCUCAGUCUCCUGAGUAGCUGGGAUUACAGGCGUCUGCCACCACGCCCGGCUAAUUUUUCUAUUUUUAGUAGAGACGGGGUUUCACCGUGUUAGCCAGGAUUGUCUCGAUCUCCUGACCUUGUGAUCCGCCCGCCUCGGCCUCCCAAAAUGCUGAGAUUUGUUUUAAGGUUAAUAUUGUUUAGUUGUGCCUGAAUUCCAAAGGAGGAGAGUAUAGUGAGGCAUAUCCGACCUCCUCUUCUUAUCAUGGCCUGAACUAGUUUUUUCAGGUUUACUUUGGAAUUCCCUUGGCCAAGAGCAAAGGAGUCCAUCAGUCAGCUGAGGGGCUUAUAAUAUUAUUUGGGGUUUACGUUGUUUAUUGUCUCCUUGUACCCUGGGUUGAUCUGUCCACCAUAGCAUUGGUGGUAGGGCUACCCUGCCUCACUAUGGCAGCAGCUAGCAGGCCUGCAGACUCCUCCGCAGGGAAUGUGCUGAAAUGUCAUGAUCUCCACUAUGCCACAAAGAUGAGACUAAAAGGCAAUGUCUUUCAUUCUCCCAUGGCCACUCUAGGUUGGUGUUGAAGCAUGUGUGAAACCAGUCCCUGGGCUCUUGAUAAGCAUACCCCCUUCAUGUUUGGCCUUGCUCUCUCUCUCUCUGGAGUUUCUGUCUUUUGCCCCCACCCCUUCAUACCCAGCCCAAGUUUCAGCCUAAAGUAGGGGACUCAGGACCCUUGUAUUUGGUGUCUUUCUACCUCCCCUACACUUGUUAAAAUAGCACAGGCUUUACAGCCACAUGAUCCAUGCUCUAACCAGCGCUCUCCUAUGUUUUAGCUGUGUGACCUGCACAAGUUGCUCAACUUCUCUGUGCCUUUGUUAUUUUCGAUGUAAAAUAGUAGGUGCAGCUGGAGAGGAACAGAUUCACUGGAUGAGAGUGUAAUGUUAAAAGCGCCAUGCAAUAUGAACAUAAUUUUUUAUUAUUUUAGGUGGCCAAUUUUCAGAAAUGGGGUACAUAGCUUUCCCUUCCUUUCUCAAUUUUUCUUACCCCCCACGUUUAUUAUAAUUGAGUAUUACAAUAGUUAAGGAUAAAAGGCUUUUACUUUUUUGAGACAGGUUCUCCUCUGGCUAUGCUGCUCAUGCUGCAGUACUGUGCCUAUUCACAGGUGCAAUAAUAUUAUGUGCCCUACAGCCUCAAACUUGUAAACCAAAAGUAAAUUCUAAGCCCCAUCCCCAACCAAUUGAGUGGACUCCUCCUCUGGGCCAAGGGCAUUCUAAAGUAAACCUAAAACGCUAGUUCAGGCAUGAUGGGAAUGGGUGGGAAGACAGGCCUCAUUACCCCCUCCUCCCGUUGGAAUUCAGGCACAGCUGACCAGCAUUAACGUUAAAAUAGAGACCUGAAGACUCUUUGUAGCAAUAUUACAGCUAGCAGGCCCUGAAAGAAAUACGUAUUUUACCUCCAAAAUGUAUUUCUUUGACAUAUUCUGAAAUGGCCCUGCAAAGCUGUCUCGAGGGGAAAAUCAACAUUCUGUAGAGUUGAUUUUCAUCCUUUUCCAGGUCUUUUUCCAGAUCCAGGAGAGAAUUAACUAAGAGUCUAGUAUCCAGUCUGAUAAGAAGCAUUUAUAAUCAAUUCUCUCUGAAGCCUGCCACCUGGAGGCUUCAUCUGCAUAAGAAGAACCUUGGUCUCCACAACCUCUUAUCUUAACCCACACAAUCCCUUCAAUUGAUUCUAGAUCUUUAGAUAAACUUUCAACAAAUUGCUAUUCAGAAAAUCUUUGAAUCCACCUAUGAUCUGGAAGCCCCCCAGCCCUCUGAGUAGUCCCACCUUUCCGUACUGAACCAAUAUACAUCUUACCUGCAUUCAUCGAAAUCUUAAGUCUCCCUAAAAUGUACAACACCAAGCUAUAGCCCAACCACCUUGAGCACAUGUUCUCGUGAUCUCCUGGGUUCUGUCAUGGGCCAUCGUCAUGCAUAGUUGGCUUAGAAUAAAACUCUUCAAAUAUUUUACAGAGUUGGAUUCUUUUCAUCAACAAACUCUUGGGCUCAAGUGAUCUUCCCACCUUAGCCUCCCAGGCAGCUGGAACUAUAGGCACAUGCCAUUGUACCUAACUACAGAUAAAAGAGUUUAGAACACUCAACUAACAAGGCCAUUCUGACCCUGAAAUUCUAGUGAAAUUGAACUUAACGCUGAUCCAAAAUGUAAUACUAUUCCCCAGGAAUUUUUUUUUUAAACUUCUGGAUCUUUUUGGUUAACAUCGUAACCACUGGCUUAGAUUUCCAGUUUCUGCAGAAUUCUCAUUUUUAAUUUAUAAUAUGAUAAUGAAGUAUAUUUUAAAAUUAAUUUUUUGAUAAACUAUAAUAAUAUAUUAUCAUGGCAGACACAGUGAUGUUAUAUGUACACAGUGUGGAAUCAUGGAAUCAAACUAAUUACCAUAUCCAUCACCAUAAAUACACAUCAUUUAUAACAUCUCCUCAUUCCCCCCCACCCACCAGCCCCUGGUAACCACCACUCUACUCUCCGCUUCUAUGAGUUUGAUUUAGAUCCCACAUGGAAAUGAAAACGUGCAUUUUUUGUCUUUCUGUACCUGGCUUAUUUCUCUUAACAUAAGGUCCUCCAGGUUCAUCCUUGUUGUUGCUAGUAACAGAAUUUCAUUCUUUUUAAAGGCAUUUUUUGAGUGGCAUUCCAUUGUGUAUAUAUAGCACAUUUUCCUUAUCUAUUCAUCUGUUAAUGGACAGUUAGCUUGAUUCCACAUCUUGGCCAUCAUGAAUAGUGCUGUGAUAAACAGGAGUACAGAUAUCUCUUCGAGAUACUGAUUAAAUUCCCCUAGAAUUUAUAGCCAGUAGUGGGACUGCUGAUCUUCCUUUCUUUUUCAACAGCAAUCUGUCUCCAAAAAAUACCCAACCUCCCACUUGUGCUCAAGGAUAGCUGAUACUGCUUUAAUGAGGAACGACUAUUUUUCUUGCCACAAUUUGAGGCAAAGGAAGCACACACACUGAAAUUAAGGUCCAAAUGACUGAUCCUAGGCUCAUAUCCAAGUGCAGAUUUUGACAGAGAAAGGUGAGAGGACAAACAGAGCAAGUGCGAGGAGGAACUCGGGCAGGAGGGAGGGAGGUUGUGUAGAAAGGAGGAUUAGCAGUGCCAAAGCUUUCCUCUUUUGCCGGUGCUUAGAGCUGGAAAACUGCAGGUAGGGCUGAGAUGGAUCCUGUUUGUCAGCGUCUGUUCUGUACUUUGCAAUUUGACAGCAGGCUUCCCAGCAGACAUGUGUCACCUUGCCUCCGCAUUUUCACCCCCACACCUAGCACACCCAGGAAAGGGCAGGGAUGUGGGAGGUGAAGCUAGGGCCAUGUACUCCGGGGUAAACUUCAACCUCACAGAAGGAGCCAGGCUAGGAGGACCCUGAAGGCCCUGGGUUCAGUUCCGCAGGGCGGAGAGACUGCUUUCCUGGGCCAUUCCACUAGUUCCCGGAUCUGGAAAGCUCCUUGUAAAGUGUUUCCAUAAUUUUCAUUUUCUCCCCAUGUGUCCUUUGCCUUUUACAAAAUUACUUAAGGGCAGCUAUAAUGUACUAAAAAAGAUACCAAAAGCCCCAUUUUCUUAUCAAAUGCCCAUUUUUUUCUGCCACUCAGAAUUAAUAACAGUGAAAGUCUUGUCAUAAUUUAUCCAACUUCUUUUUAAAUAACCGUUCUAUUUAAAUGAGGAAGGCAAUCAUGCUUGCAUCUUCUGAGAAACAGUGUGGUUAAGGGUGGCGUCAUUUGAUUGUCACACAGCAGAGUCCUGAAGGACAUUUUAUAGCUUUUCAAGAAUACCCACAUUUUUGUCAGGGUCUUGCAGGCAGAGAAGGUUGGGUUCUCUGCAAAGGAGAUCAGGAAGUCCCCAUGAUGCUACACAUGCGAGCCAGGCCAGACAUUCCCCUUUCCACAAAGUACCAACCCUUCUGGGCUGGUGCGUUUGGACUCAAAUGUCCCUAUAUGCACUCCUCAUAUUUGCUUCCGUCCUCUGAACUCCGGUGGCAAUUAGUCUGAAUAAACCUCUUGUAAUUUCUGGAUAAUGAUUUUAUAAUUACCUUGAAUCAUUGAAGUGUGUUGCUAUUUCUUAUCAUUUAACUACUCUCGUACUACUUUAGAGUGUCUAAUAAAUGUUGAUUUAAUCUCUUAAAACAGUGGCUUCUAAUGAUUAACAUUCCCCACCCACAGUAAAGGCUUCUGCCUCCAGCACUGCCUUCUCUCUCUAGAAUUAGAUCCUCCUAGCAACUACCCACUCCCACUGCUCAUUGGAUGCUGUCUUCUAGAAUGAUGGGUUUCCAGCCAUUCAUCCUUGUGUUUCCCCACAGCUGGUGCUAACAGUUCAUUCCCUCAAGGUGUACCAAAUGGAAUGAACCUAUUAAAUCCCUAACUCUACUAACAGAUCAUACCAAACCAGUAACGUGCCCUUUCUUAACUUCCAUUUAUAUUCCUGUUUGGGGGUCAUUCUGUGUUGCUGACCUCAGUCCGUUCAGCCUGCAUACUUAAAAGUACGUAACUGGGCCUUCUCUCUUCUUCCCCCAACCCCACCAUGUGAGGACACAGCAAGAAGGCUGCCAUCUACAAGCUAGAAAGUGAUCCUUGACUGAGUGUGGUGGCUCAUGCCUGUAAUCCCAGCACUUCGGUCUCAGAAAAAUAAAAGUGAUCCUUCACCAAAAACAGAACAUGCUGGAACCUUGGACUUGGAUUUCUAGCCUCCAGAACUGUAAGAAAAUAAAUUUUUGUUGCUUAAGCAAAAAAAAAAAAAAAAAAAGAAAAAGAAAUCUUCAAAAAAGUACAUAACUGGGUGGGGUGAGCUUGUUUGUACUUCAGAAGAUCCCCUCUGAAUCAUAAAUAAGUAAUAAUUAGUUACUGAGGUCAUUUAUCAAAAGACAAUGCUUUAGAUAUCUGUUCUUACAGGACAGUGAAGUAUUAGAAAAUCAUGGGAAAAAGAAAACCACCGGCAAAUAUUUUUCCAUUUUAAAAUGCCACUGACUUUAAGACAUGCUAGUUUUGAGAAAAAAAAGAAAAAUCCUGAAAUAGAAUAUGCACUUCAGAAAUGAAAUGCAAAAAAAUGCUGUCUCUUAGAAAUGAGAUAAUUCAACUACUAAGCAAAUAAAAUAAACCUGUAACAUUCCUCCAAUGAGAUGGCCAUGGACCUGUUUUCUCUGUUGACUGUGUAAAAACACUCUGGGGACACAGGUGAGAAAAUCCAUGUCAGGCAUAUGGAGGGUUAACUUGGAGGAAUGAUGGCCCACUGACACCAUACCUGUGGGUCAUCAUGCUGCUUUUACAAAUUGCCCAGUGGAAAGCAUAAAUUGAAUGUUUAAAAACUACUAAACUUGCGUAUACGGUUGUGAGGAAAAACGUCCAUUCAGUCCUGCCAGAACACAUUAAUUUUAUCUCGAGUGUAGCCACGGGGAUCCUCGCACUUCUACUAUCUGUAUCCAGUGAGGUUGCAACAACCUCACCAUCCAUCAAGCUCUCUGUAGAAGGUGGAAGGUUGAGAGAAGUCCCCUGAGGAAGAGUGACAUUGCGCUGGGUGACUCAGUCUGACGCAAGCCACAAAUGAGGCAGAACAGGAUGCUGAGGCUGAGGGGAAGAGCUUGUGCAAGGCCUCCCCUCAUGCUAACUGCGCAGCAGCCCAUAAGAUGCGGGCCAUAAUGGUCGUUAUGAUUCUCCUCCCCCACCAGUCUUUUAUUUAGGUUCAUUUUUGCUUGUGGCAAAAAAUACUCUCUUCAUGGUUCUCAGAUGUUAAUGAAUUGAAUGUUCACCGUCCAUCUUCCUGAAUUGCUUCACAAAAGAAUCUUACUUUAAAGGUGGAAAGUCCUCAAGGUCAUAGCUUUCUAAUCUAUUCCUGAAAAGUCAUUUCCAUUUUGUGCUAGUUAAAAAUGGAAUGCAUUUAGGAUUUCAUCUUAUUGAUGAAAUUGACCUUAAAAAAUGGUCAAUUUUGAUUUGUAGCUCGGAGUGAACUGGGCAAUACAAAAAAGGACUAUUUUGUACCGUAAGAAAUAGAUGUGAGGAAGGCACGAUGAUUUCCAGUAUCCUUCACUGAGGUCAAUUUUUUUUUCACAGAAAACUAAAAUGUUCCUGUUCUAUUUCCUUUAAUUUACUCAGAAUACUGAUUCCCAAGAUUUUAAAAGUGACUUACACUUUAAUAGAAUCUCAACCUAUUUAAUUUGUAUAGUGCUUUUGUGAUUCUCAAGCAAAAUUCUACUUCUUCAACUUUUACUUUGGAUUCAUGGAAUACAUGUGCAGGUUGUUACUUGUGUAUACUGCGUGAUGCUGAGGUUUGGAGUACCAAUGAUCCCAUCACCCAGAUACCGAGCACAGUGUCCAAUAGGUUUUCAACCCUUGCCCCACUCCUUCCUCUAGGAAUCCCAGGUAUCUAUUAUUACCAUCUUUAUGUCCAUGAGUAGCCAAUGUUUAGUUCCCAUUUGUGAGAACAUGGGGCAUUUGUUUUUUUGUUCCUGGGUUAAUUUGUUGUUUGUAACAGGAUGAUGGCCUCCAGCUAACUCUAUAAGGACAAGCUUGCUUUCUUUUAUAUGGCUGUGUCCUACACGAUUUUAGAUCUAUCAUCUAUCCUCCCGGCAUAAUUGGUUAGGGAGUUUGUCUCAUUAUUCUUCCCAGCCAUAUGACCUUGUGCAAAGAUCAAACUUUGGGCAAAGAGUUCAAUUCAAACAUCAGCUAUUACUAGUGUAGCUGGGCCACCCUACCCCACUGGAAUUAUAUGUCUUGGGUAUCACUCAGUUUUAGUACCUUUAACCUGGACACGUUACCCAGAUACAAUUUCAAGGUAAACAUGCCUGCCUGUCUUCCUAGUUUUUUUUUUUUUUUUUUGCCCAGCAGGAGUGCAGUGGCACAAUCGCAGCUUCGAAAUGCUAGACUUAAGCAAUCCUCCUGAGUAGCUGGGACUACAGGCAUGCGCCACUGCACCCUGCUGAUUUUUAAAUUUUUGGUAGAGAUGGGUUUUUUUGUUGUGCAGAGUGGUCUUGAACUCCUGGGCUCAAGCAAUCCUCCUGCCUCAGCCUCCCGAAGUGUUGGGAUUACAGGCAUGAGCCACCACGCCUGCAGGUUUUAACAUGUUAAGCAAAGCACACACCCGCAGCAAGUGGGAAAUCCAGCUUCAAGAGAAUUUCCAUUUCUUACCAUCUUUUUCCACUUUGUCCAUCUCUCCCUGCAGCCCUCCCCCAUCAAGCAUCCAUUGUAUGAAAUGCCCAUACUACCUUUUUCUGUGUGCUUUACCUACUAUGCUUACUCUUGAAAAUUUCCUCCUGGGCCAUCUUAGAAACUUAUUAUUCAGUCUGCAUUUCCAUUUUGCUUACCUUUCUGUGACACUCAUCCAAUGGCCUAUGGCCGUGUUUACACGGAUUUGAUAUGCUUUAGAAGGCAAUUACUUUUAUUCAUCAUUGUCUCCCCUGGGCCCAGCUAGCAUGGCACCUGUUACAUAAAAAAUUCAUGUUUUCUGACUGUUCAGUAGAUGCCAUUUUAAGCAACAACUCAAAGGGCCUUUUUUCUCGGGAUUAUUUUAAAACAUGUUUCAUUUAUCCUCUAGUAUUUCAGACGAUGUCAGAAAAUGAAAAAUGGACAUUUACUUUUUUACCUAAAGCCUAUCACUUUGCAGGUCAUUACUCUUCGCUGUGAAUGAGGAAAAAAAAAAACAAAAACUCUGUGGUAUGUUAAGAGCCAAGAAACUAGUGAUUUUUUUCUAUUACCAUUUACAACUGGUAUGUUUUACAAACGAUCACAUUUUAUAUAUCAGCUUACCUUUUAUAUGUUAUUUAUUUAUUUAUCUUUUUGAGACGGAGUCUUGCUCUGUUGCCAGGCUGGAGUGCAGUGGCGCGAUCUUGGCUCACAGCAACCUCCGCCUCCUUGUCUCAAGCGAUUCUCCCGCCUCAGCCUCUCAAGUACCUGGGACUACAGAUGCACACCACCAUGCCCAGCUAAUUUUUGUAUUUUUAGUAGAGACAGGGUUUCACCAUGUUGGCCAGGAUGGUCUCCAUCUCUUGACCUCAUGAUCUGCCUGCCUCGGCCUCCCAAAGUGCUGGGAUUACAGGCGUGAGCCACCGCACCCGGCCACAUUUUAUAUAUUAUUUUGCAUAGCCUUCAUUGUCUUAGCAAAGUCAGAAGAAGUCCAAUAACAUAAUGUCAUUAAAUUAACAACAACGACAACAACAACAACAAAACAACCCAGGAUGGGGGCAGUGGCUCAAGCUAGUAAUGCCGACACUUAGGAAGGCCAAGGUGAGUGGAUUGUUUGAAUCCAAUUUAAGACCAAACUGAACCCCUCUAUUUAAAAAAAAAGUAAAACAGUAAAAAAAUCCUUGGUUUUCUAGAUAAACUGCCUGAUACCAUCACUGAAAUGAUAUCAUUUUGUGUGUGAUAUUAAUUUAAAAAAGACAUAAACUUUGGGUUCUAAAAGGUGACUAAGGAAAACAGGCACUUUAAGAUCACACUGAUAUGGGUAUCAGGAUGGGGAGAAGAAAAAUAGAAAAUUGGCAUUUACAUUUUUACUAAUAAAAAAAAGCAUCAAUAGCUAAGACUUAUGUAAUGCUUACUAAGUGCCUGCACGUUUAACCAUAAACCUAUAAGACAGGUUCCAAUAUAUUCAUUUUACAGGAGAGGAAACUGGGCACACAGAGGUUAAGUAAUUUGCCCAAGGUCACAUAAGAAAUAAGAGUUGAGAUUCAAAUAGAGGUAGUCUAGCUACAAGUAUCAUGUACUUAUCACACUGCACUAUACUAUACUGGCAAGAAACUAAGUUGCUUUCUUGAAGAAAUCCCUAUUCAAAUGGCAUGCAUAUGAUUCACUUGGAAAAAUUAGACUAAUCAACAUCUGGCUGAAACCUUUGUUUCAGAAAUAAGCCUCCUAUGUACUUUGAGAUGAUUAACAGUAUUUCUGCAUUACUGUAAUAAACAUUUGUCAAAAAGAGCAAUCACCUCAGUCAUCAUACAGACUUCUUUCCCUUCAUUAAAGACUUCUAAAUAUAACUCUUCUGUAUCAAAGAACUUACAAAUGUCUCAAGAAAGUAAUGGUGUAGCAGUGUAAGAGAAGUAAAAGUCUGCUAGGGGAAACUAAUGAAGCAUUUUCCUCAUUACACUUUUGGGUUGAUAUAUUUCAUUAAGACAGAACUAGUUCUGUUUUGCUUUGCUUUUUAGUGCUUAGUCUGAGAGGCAAUGCGAGAAACCAAAAGUCUUAGGAGAAAAACUGCUUUCAUAAUUUCCAGUGUAAGCCACAAAGAAGCUUUUCUAUAAAGGCUUGAAAGCUUGAAGAGGUGACAAGAGCAAGCUGUAUUCAAUUAGACAGUUCAAUAAAUAUGCAAAAAUAAAAAAACACUUAGCAA